rnacentral:rRNA from 1 species
UCGGGAAUUUUGGGCAAUGGGCGAAAGCCUGACCCAGCAACGCCGCGUGAAGGAUGAAGUAUUUCGGUAUGUAAACUUCGUAAGAAUAGGAAGAAUAAAUGACGGUACUAUUUGUAAGGUCCGGCUAACUACGUGCCAGCAGCCGCGGUAAUACGUAGGGACCAAGCGUUGUUCGGAUUUACUGGGCGUAAAGGGCGCGUAGGCGGCGUGGUAAGUCAUCUGUGAAAUCUCCGAGCUUAACUCGGAACGGUCAGAUGAUACUGCUGUGCUAGAGUGCAGAAGGGGCAAUCGGAAUUCUUGGUGUAGCGGUGAAAUGCGUAGAUAUCAAGAGGAACACCUGAGGUGAAGACGGGUUGCUGGGCUGACACUGACGCUGAGGCGCGAAAGCCAGGGGAGCAAACGGGAUUAGAUACCCUAGUAGUCCCUGAGCGGGCUGGCAAGGCGCAU